UGCGUAGGCGGAAAAUUAAGUAAGUGGUGAAAUCCUGCAGCUCAACUGUAGAACUGUCAUUGAUACUGAUUUUCUUGAAUACAGUUGAGGUAGGCGGAAUAUGUAAUGUAGCGGUGAAAUGCUUAGAUAUUACAUAGAACACCGAUUGCGAAGGCAGCUUACUAAACUGUGAUUGACGCUGAGGCACGAAAGCGUGGGGAGCGAACAGGAUUAGAUACCCUGGUAGUCC
rnacentral:rRNA from 1 species